UACAGAGGGUGCGAGCGUUGUUCGGAAUUACUGGGCGUAAAGGGCGCGUAGGCGGCACUGCAAGUCAGUUGUGAAAUCUCCGGGCUUAACCCGGAAAGGUCAACUGAUACUGCAGGGCUAGAGUGCAGAAGGGGCAACUGGAAUUCUCGGUGUAGCGGUGAAAUGCGUAGAUAUCGAGAGGAACACCUGCGGCGAAGGCGGGUUGCUGGGCUGACACUGACGCUGAGGCGCGAAAGCGUGGGGAGCAAACGGG
rnacentral:rRNA from 1 species